ACGAACGCUGGCGGCGUGCUUAACACAUGCAAGUCGAGCGGUAAGGCUCCUUCGGGAGUACACGAGCGGCGAACGGGUGAGUAACACGUGAGUAAUCUGCCCUUCACUUCGGGAUAACCGCCGGAAACGGCGGCUAAUACCGGAUACGACCAGCCUUCGCAUGAGGCGCUGGUGGCAAGUUUUGUCGGUGGAGGAUGUGCUCGCGGCCUAUCAGCUUGUUGGUGGGGUAACGGCCUACCAAGGCUUCGACGGGUAGCCGGCCUGAGAGGGUGACCGGCCACACUUGGACUGAGACACGGCCCAGACUGCUACGGGAGGCAGCAGUGGGGAAUAUUGGACAAUGGGCGAAAGCCUGAGCCAGCAACGCCGCGUGAGGGAUGACGGCCUUCGGGUUGUAAACCUCGUUCAGUACCGACGAAGCGCUCCUAUGAGUGGUGACGGUAGGUACAGAAGAAGGACCGGCCAACUACGU
rnacentral:rRNA from 1 species